rnacentral:rRNA from 1 species
AGAGUUUGAUCCUGGCUCAGAACGAACGCUGGCGGCGUGCUUAACACAUGCAAGUCGAGCGGUAAGGCCCUUCGGGGUACACGAGCGGCGAACGGGUGAGUAACACGUGGGUGACCUGCCCCCUACUCUGGGAUAAGCCUGGGAAACUGGGUCUAAUACCGGAUAUGACUGCAUGUCGCAUGGUGUGUGGUGGAAAGUUUUUCGGUGGGGGAUGGGCCCGCGGCCUAUCAGCUUGUUGGUGGGGUGAUGGCCUACCAAGGCGACGACGGGUAGCCGGCCUGAGAGGGCGACCGGCCACACUGGGACUGAGACACGGCCCAGACUCCUACGGGAGGCAGCAGUGGGGAAUAUUGCGCAAUGGGCGGAAGCCUGACGCAGCGACGCCGCGUGGGGGAUGACGGCCUUCGGGUUGUAAACCUCUUUCGGCCCCGACGAAGCGUGAGUGACGGUAGGGGUAGAAGAAGCGCCGGCCAACUACGUGCCAGCAGCCGCGGUAAUACGUAGGGUGCGAGCGUUGUCCGGAAUUAUUGGGCGUAAAGAGCUCGUAGGCGGUCUGUCGCGUCGGUCGUGAAAACUUGGGGCUUAACCCUGAGCUUGCGGUCGAUACGGGCAUGACUGGAGUUCGGCAGGGGAGACUGGAAUUCCUGGUGUAGCGGUGAAAUGCGCAGAUAUCAGGAGGAACACCGGUGGCGAAGGCGGGUCUCUGGGCCGAUACUGACGCUGAGGAGCGAAAGCGUGGGGAGCGAACAGGAUUAGAUACCCUAGUAGUCC